UGCACACAGGUGCUGUAUGGCUGUCGUCAGCUCGUGUCGUGAGAUGUUGGGUUAAGUCCCGCAACGAGCGCAACCCUUGCCAUUAGUUGCUACGAAGGGCACUCUAAUGGGGACUGCCGGUGACAAACCGGAGGAAGGUGGGGAUGACGUCAAGUCCUCAUGGCCCUUAUAGGUGGGGCUACACACGUCAUACAAUGGCCGGUACAGAGGGUAGCCAACCCGCGAGGGGGAGCCAAUCCCACAAAGCCGGUCGUAGUCCGGAUUGUUCUCUGCAACUCGAGAGCAUGAAGUCGGAAUCGCUAGUAAUCGCAGGUCAGCAUACUGCGGUGAAUACGUUCCCGGGUCCUU
rnacentral:rRNA from 1 species